AAACACGAUUACCUACUUCGAAUUUUCUUAAAUUAAGUAAUUCAACAACAAUACAACAUUUAAUUUAUUAUUAAAUUUAAAAUGAAAUUCAGUGUUUUUGGAAUCUUUCUUAUGUUGUAUCAAGUAGAAGCCGCUUCGUUAUGGUGUUAUGGAAGCGAAGACUAUCACACAAUUACACCGCUAACAUCACCUUUAGGUUUGCUCGAUUCUCCAUUCAAUGUAAACCUAAGAACCGUUAUAUUUACAUUUGGGUUUAAUGGCAAAGUAAAUGGGAAGGAAACAUUAGCAAUAGUGAACGCUUACAUGAAGUACAAAAAGGAUAAUCCAAUUAACUUUAUUCUACUCGAGUGGGAGAAAGAAGCAGCCAGUGAUUCUG